AUGGCGCUGUGGACUGGCCUGGGUCAGGCGGCCACGGUGGCACAGCUGGUCGGCGCGGACGUCGGCGGCCUCAUCUCCAUGAUCGUGCAGGCCGCGAUGACGGCUCGUCAGAACAGGAGUGAGUGUGAGCAACUUGCUCGUCGUGUCCUCAUGAUCGCGCAGCUGCUGCCGCACGUGCAGGAGCCAGAGGCGGCGCAGCCGCUGGCCGGGCUGGGCGACAUGCUCCGGGACGCCCACGAGCUCGUCGUGUCGUGCCAAGGGAGGAGCGCGGCGUAUCAGUUCAUCAUGGCUGGCAGGACGGCUGAAAGGUUCAGGGAGGUGCAGAGCAAGAUAGACUCGUACCUCAUCCUCUUCCCUGUGAUCAGCCACAUCGGCAUAACACGCCGCCUCGAACGAAUCUACAACAUACUUGUUCAGGAUGGCUCCACCAGAGAUGAACCGUCGCAUCCACUUCCACAGUCGUCCCAGCUGCAGGAAUCUUUUGUGAUGGCUCAGGAUGCACUACCACAUGGAACCCAGGAAUUUACGUUGGCAGAGAUCGUGGCCGCCACUAAUAACUUUGCCUUUGACACCAAGAUCGGUCAUUGCAGCUCUGGAAGUGUGUACAGGGGCAGGCUUCAUGAUGGACGAGAGGUGGCUGUCAAGUGCAAAAGGAGCUCCUUAUUAGACAAGUGGUAUUCUCAAUCCUUAGAGGACGAGUACCAAAAGGAGCUCGAUAUUCUCUCACGUCUUCGACACAGACAUAUCAUCCGCCUCCUUGGAUCGUAUGUGACCGUGAGCAAGGAGAAGCGCCAGCUAACCACCCCGCAAAAGAAAAAGAAGGGCAUACUAACCAUAAGCAGGCAAAGAAAAGAGCCUACAGAGCCGGAGGGGUUGUUUUUCACAAGAGAAGAGCCAGAGGGGCAUGUACUCGUGUACGAGUACAUGGAGAACGGCACACUCUUCAACCACCUCCACUCUGGUCAGGCUGGUUCCUCCAUGCUGUCGCCAGUGACGGUGUCCUGGAAGAUGCGCAUCAAUGUCCUCCUUGGCGUGUCACACGCCAUCGAGCACUUACACUGUCAUGCCAACCCGCCGAUCAUCCACCGGGACAUCAAGUCAGCUAACAUCCUUUUUGACGCCAGUUGGGUGCCUCGUUUGUCAGACUUUGGCUCCUCGGUUGUAUGGGACAUGGCAACUCAGGAGGAGGGGAUGGAGGUCCCAGUUAUAGGCACAUUUGGGUACCUCGCCCCUGAGUACGCCAUAUAUGGUCUUCUGAAGCCGGCGAGCGACGUGUACAGCCUGGGCGUGGUGAUGCUCGAGGUUCUGACAGGGAAAAGUGCAUAUUCUCAAUUGAAGGAUGAUGGGACAGGUGGACCUUUGACAGACUUCGCACUCCCCAUCAUUGAAGUCGGUAAUAUUGAGGAGUUGUUGGACAGGCGACCUGUACCGGAGCCAACGCCUUGGCAGCUGCAGGUGAUGAAACGGGUGGCGCAGAUUGCAUGGUGCUGCGGGAAGUUGGAUGCGAAGGACCGGCCGGCCAUAUCAGACAUUGUUGCCAACCUCGAGAUGGCGUAUGAGUUAAUCUGCAGAGACGAGCACGGUUCAGUUGACGAGCCAUGUUUGUGGCCCUUCGUCGAACAAGUUGACCUGCCAUCGGACUCGCCACACUCCAGGAGCUCGUCAUCGGCAGGCUACCAUUCCGAGCUGGAAUCUGAGGUGUUGGAGGAGGGGCGUUGA
rnacentral:rRNA from 1 species